GACGAACGCUGGCGGCGUGCUUAACACAUGCAAGUCGAACGGAAAGGCCCUGCUUUUGUGGGGUGCUCGAGUGGCGAACGGUUGAGUAACACGUGAGUAACCUGCCCUUGACUUUGGGAUAACCUCAGGAAACUGGGGCUAAUACCGGAUAGGAGCUCCUGCUGCAUGGUGGGGGUUGGAAAGUUUCGGCGGUUGGGGAUGGACUCGCGGCUUAUCAGCUUGUUGGUGGGGUAGUGGCUUACCAAGGCUUUGACGGGUAGCCGGCCUGAGAGGGUGACCGGCCACAUUGGGACUGAGAUACGGCCCAGACUCCUACGGGAGGCAGCAGUGGGGAAUAUUGCACAAUGGGCGGAAGCCUGAUGCAGCAACGCCGCGUGCGGGAUGACGGCCUUCGGGUUGUAAACCGCUUUCGCCUGUGACGAAGCGUGAGUGACGGUAAUGGGUAAAGAAGCACCGGCUAACUACGUG
rnacentral:rRNA from 1 species